GCGCAGGAAAAGAAACCAACAGGGGUUACCUCAGUAACGGCGAGUGAAGCGGUAACAGCUCAAAUUUGAAAUCUGGCCUCACGGUCCGAAUUGUAAUUUGUAGAGGAUGUUUCGAGCAUGGUCUGGCCUAAGUUCCUUGGAACAGGACGUCAUAGAGGGUGAGGAUCCCGUAUGCGGUCAGGUGCCUACGCUCAUGUGAAACUCCUUCGACGAGUCGAGUUGUUUGGGAAUGCAGCUCAAAAUGGGUGGUAAAUUUCAUCUAAAGCUAAAUAUUGGCCAGAGACCGAUAGCGCACAAGUAGAGUGAUCGAAAGAUGAAAAGCACUUUGGAAAGAGAGUUAAACAGUACGUGAAAUUGUUGAAAGGGAAGCGCUUGCAACCAGACUUGCACGCAGCUAUCAUCCGGUGUUCUCACCGGUGCACUUGGUUGCGUUCAGGCCAGCAUCGGUUUCUGCGGUGGGAUAAAGGCCUUAGGAAUGUAGCUGCUUUCGGGCAGUGUUAGAGCCUAAGGAGGAUUGCCUGCUGCUGGGACCGAGGACCGCGCUUCGGCUAGCAAGCUGGCUGAGUGAUUGUGUGCAGGGCGUCUUGCUAGAAACACGAAACAAAGUAUCCUAUAUACAAGACAAUUGGUUGGCGUUGACGAACACAUUUACAUGUUAAGAGAAUGUGACCGGAAGCUCAACACCCUUAUAGGGGGGGACCCCCCGGGGCGGGUUUCUUUAUCGUCGCGGGAUAUGGCUUUUAGAAAGACCCCCACAGUGUGACGGGAUUCUAAAAAUUUUGGGAAAUGGGGGGGUCCAAUAUUUUUACACUCCCGUGGGGAGAAAGGUGAAACACCCCCCGGGAGAAAAAAUGGCUUCUUCCAGUUGCUGGUCGGAACUGCUGGACAUGCUAGAUGCUAGCUGCUGACGCGC
rnacentral:rRNA from 1 species